rnacentral:rRNA from 1 species
UACGGGGGGGGCAAGCGUUGUUCGGAAUUACUGGGCGUAAAGGGCUCGUAGGCGGCCAACUAAGUCGGACGUGAAAUCCCUCGGCUUAACCGGGGAACUGCGUCCGAUACUGGAUGGCUUGAGUUCGGGAGAGGGAUGCGGAAUUCCAGGUGUAGCGGUGAAAUGCGCAGAUAUCAGGAGGAACACCGGUGGCGAAGGCGACUUCCUGGCCUGUUCUUGACGCUGAGGCGCGAAAGCUAGGGGAGCAAACGGG